GAGGGGUGGCCGAGUGGCUGAAGGCGGCGGUUUGCUAAACCGUUAUAGGUGUAACAACCUAUCGAGGGUUCGAAUCCCUUCCCCUCC
rnacentral:tRNA from 1 species